CAUGCAUGUAUAAGUAUAAACGCAUCAAGCGUGAAACUGCGUACGGCUCAUUACAACAGCAGUAAUUUACUUGAUCUUGACAACCUACAUGGAUAACUGCGGUAAUUCUGGAGCUAAUACAUGCACCAAAGCUUCGACCCGCGAGGGAAGAGCGCAUUUAUUAGAACAAAACCAAACGGCUUCGGCUGUCAAUUGUUGACUCAGAAUAACUAAGCUGAUCGCAUGGUCUUGCACCGGCGACGUGUCUUUCAAGCUUCUGCCUUAUCAACUUUCGAUGGUAGUGUAUGUGCCUACCAUGGUGGUUACGGGUAACGGAGGAUCAGGGUUCGACUCCGGAGAAGGGGCCUGAGAAAUGGCCACUACGUCUAAGGAUGGCAGCAGGCGCGCAAAUUACCCACUCUCGAUUUGAGGAGGUAGUGACGAGAAAUAACGAGACUGAUCUCUUAUGAGGCCAGUCAUCGGAAUGGGUACAAUUUAAACCCUUUAACGAGUAUCUAUGAGAGGGCAAGUCUGGUGCCAGCAGCCGCGGUAAUUCCAGCUCUCAAAAUGCAUAGAACCAUUGCUGCGGUUAAAAAGCUCGUAGUUGGAUCUGUGCCGGCUCCCCGGUCCAUCGCAAGAUGCGCACUGGUGGCAGCCGGCUUUCCUGUGGCUCACAGCCCGGCGGCCCUCACGGACAGCCGGUGCCUGGGGCUACAACUUUACUUUGAACAAAUCAGAGUGCUCAAAACAGGCGUUUCGCUUGAAUGUUCGUGCAUGGAAUAAUAGAAGAGGAUUUCGGUUCAAUUUUAUUGGUUUUAUUGACUGAGAUAAUGGUUAACAGAGACAAACGGGGGCAUUAGUAUUGCCACGUGAGAGGUGAAAUUCUUGGACCGUGGCAAGACUGACUACAGCGAAAGCAUUUGCCAAGAAUGUCUUCAUUAAUCAAGAACGAAAGUCAGAGGUUCGAAGGCGAUCAGAUACCGCCCUAGUCUUGAACCGUAAAA
rnacentral:rRNA from 1 species